rnacentral:rRNA from 1 species
CACCGCGGUUAUACGAGAGGCCCAAGUUGACAGUCACCGGCGUAAAGAGUGGUUAAAGAAUAAUUAAAACUAAAGCCGAACACCUUCAAGGCAGUUAUACGCACCCGAAGGCCAGAAGCCCAACUACGAAAGUGGCUUUAUUUCUCCUGAACCCACGAGAGCUAUGGUA